UAGAGGUAACUGAUAAAUGUUAGAGCUAUUUCUGAUGCCUUAAAAACUCCCUAUAAAAAGCUAGUUCCCUUCUUUGUCAAGGCAGAUUUUAGAGAUUAAUAACACUGGAAGUUGAAAAAUGGCUGAGCUAAAAAAAGACUGAAAAAUUCUCUAUACUAUUCUUGGUCAAAAACUUCUUGGAAUUACACUGGGAGAUACACUAUUAGGAUCAUUUUAACACCUCAAAACCUCUUGCUUGAUAUGGGUUCAAAAAAUGACUUGAAAGGAUUUGAAUUUGUUGAGUUUGCUGAAGUUGAGUCUUCUGUUAUUGCUGCUAACCUCUCAUUCUCUCCGAUUUUUUCUUUGAAUUCCAGGUAUCUUUCAAACCAUGAAUAACAAGUGAAGUAUGAACAUGUAUUUCUAAUGGAAACAUGAUUGAAUACAAGUCGUUAUUGAGUUUUAUUUUCUUCUAUUUCUUCCAUUUCUUUAGUAUUUUGUAAUAGUUUAAUUAUAUGCAUGUUAUAUUAGCCAUCUCAUGUUGUUGUCAUGGUAAAAGAUGAAUUACUGCUGGAUUUUGUUGUUUUGUUUGCUGAAAGUUUGAUGUUGGUUCUUAGAUUCAAGUUAGUCGUCUGUCAAUUUCUUGGAUUUUCACUAAUGUUUGUAUUAAGAGAAGGGUUUUAGUUGAGAUUAAAUUUGAUAUGAUUACUUAUAGAUUAGCUUAGAACAGUGUUGUUUUCAUUGCAAUUGAUUUCGAAGCAAUGUUGCCUUUGAGAAUGUAAUGUGGUUUAAUAGCACUUAAGGUCUCAUGUAUGUCAAACUGCUUUGUAGCGGUGAUUAGGCUCAUUUGGUAUUUCUAUUGAAUUUGCAUAUCAGCCUUAUUUUGUGUGGACUCGAUCUUGAGUCCUCUGUCUUGAGCUUGUGCUUUUUAUUUCUAAGGCUUGGGCUCCCUUUGGGCCUGAACCUUAAGGCUAUUCUGAAACAGGGAGACUUGCAACUCCGGUAGGCUUGUGCUCAAUCCUAUUACCUUCUGCAUCAAUAUGGAAGUUUUAAAUAAACUAUCG
rnacentral:lncRNA from 1 species